GUCUGGCUGCCUCCACUAAUAACUGCGGCUCCAUCGGAGGAGAGGAAAUGGAAGCCACCCUCAGACUCAGGAACCAGCCGCAAAAAAAAGUUAAAAGUAACGGAAUACUCCUCUUGGACCUGCUACAGUCUCGUGAAAAUACCGCUGAACUCAGAAUACUACAAGGGUUUUUUGGUUCUGAAAUAAUUCUGCUUGGGUCUUGAUAACACCCAGCAGAUCCUGAGGGAGAAGAGAUGAUACCACUGACGCAGAUCAUCCGCAGGUGAUUCAGCCUGAAGAGUAUCAUAAAGGCUGUGCUCCCACUUCUAGGGAAUCCUCAUCACCUUAGUACCUCACCAUCUUAAAAAGACUGUAUUUAUCCUUACAACCCCGCUGAGAGGAAGGGAGGUAUCACUCCCAUUUACAUUUGGAGAACUGAGAGACUAGGCAACUUGACCAAGGUCGUCAUGCACAGGAAGCCCCUGGCAGAGUAGAAAAUUGAACAUAGGUCUCUUGAGUCUUAAGCACCCUAACCACUGGAUCCAGGGCUGCCUGGGGGGGGACAAAUGGGGCAGUUUGCCCCGGACCCCACAGGGGACCCCACGAGAAUAUACUAUUCUAUAGUAUUGCAACUUUUUUUUAUGGAAGGGGCCCCUGAAAUUGCUUUGCCCCAGGCCCCCUGAAUCCUCUGGGCAGCCCUGACUGGAUCAUCCUUCCUUUCUAUCUGCCAUCUGUUUUGCAACUGUAGUAUUGAAGUAAUGAUAUUUCCUUUAACGUUUUUUGAGAUCUAUAGAUGAACAGCACCAUAAAAGUGCUAAGUUUUAUUAUUUUAUUCUACUGUUAGUUAAAAGUGAUUUUAAGUUCAAGAAUAUUCUUAAAUCCCUACUUCUGCAUUUGAAUAAUGAGUAAAACUGCUUUUCUGUUGUUUAUAUGACACAAUCCAUGAACAGUCAGGUUUGGUUUUGAAGUGUAAUGAACUGUACUGACUGAUUUCUUGCUGUCUAACUGGGAGUCAUAAAAUAAAUUCUAAUUUACUUAAUA